rnacentral:rRNA from 1 species
UACGUAGGGUGCAAGCGUUGUCCGGAAUUAUUGGGCGUAAAGAGCUCGUAGGCGGUCUGUCGCGUCGGCUGUGAAAACCCGGAGCUCAACUCCGGGCCUGCAGUCGAUACGGGCGGACUUGAGUGUUGCAGGGGAGACUGGAAUUCCUGGUGUAGCGGUGAAAUGCGCAGAUAUCAGGAAGAACACCCGUGGCUAAGGCGGCUCUCUAGUACGGUACUGACGCUGAGACGCGAAAGCGUGGGGAGCGAACAGG